rfam:Serendipita vermifera MAFF 305830 unplaced genomic scaffold scaffold_217, whole genome shotgun sequence.
GGUCUUUUAGUAUAAAGGUUAUUACAACAGCUCUUCACGUUGAGAAUACCAGUUCGAUUCUGGUAAAGAUCA